AGUGGGGAAUCUUAGACAAUGGGGGAAACCCUGAUCUAGCCAUGCCGCGUGAGCGAUGAAGGCCUUAGGGUUGUAAAGCUCUUUCGUGGGGGAAGAUAAUGACUGUACCCCAAGAAGAAGCCCCGGCUAACUCCGUGCCAGCAGCCGCGGUAAUACGGAGGGGGCUAGCGUUGUUCGGAAUUACUGGGCGUAAAGCGCACGUAGGCGGACUGGAAAGUCAGGGGUGAAAUCCCGGGGCUCAACCCCGGAACUGCCUUUGAAACUCCUGUUCUUGAGGUCGAGAGAGGUGAGUGGAAUUCCGAGUGUAGAGGUGAAAUUCGUAGAUAUUCGGAGGAACACCAGUGGCGAAGGCGGCUCACUGGCUCGAUACUGACGCUGAGGUGCGAAAGCGUGGGGAGCAAA
rnacentral:rRNA from 1 species